CUCAGAUUGAACGCUGGCGGAAUGCUUUACACAUGCAAGUCGAACGGCAGCACGGACUUCGGGUCUGGUGGCGAGUGGCGAACGGGUGAGUAAUAUAUCGGAACGUGCCCAGUCGUGGGGGAUAACGUAGUGAAAAUUACGCUAAUACCGCAUACGAUCUAAGGAUGAAAGCGGGGGAUCGCAAGACCUCGCGCGAUUGGAGCGGCCGAUAUCAGAUUAGGUAGUUGGUGAGGUAAAGGCUCACCAAGCCAACGAUCUGUAGCUGGUCUGAGAGGACGACCAGCCACACUGGAACUGAGACACGGUCCAGACUCCUACGGGAGGCAGCAGUGGGGAAUUUUGGACAAUGGGCGCAAGCCUGAUCCAGCAAUGCCGCGUGCAGGAAGAAGGCCUUCGGGUUGUAAACUGCUUUUGUACGGAGCGAAAAAGCUCUCUCUAAUACAGGGGGCUCAUGACGGUACCGUAAGAAUAAGCACCGGCUAACUACGUG
rnacentral:rRNA from 1 species